AUCCACCUGACGAGUCCAAAGUAGGCCAAAACGCGCGUCCUGGAU
rnacentral:hammerhead_ribozyme from 1 species